rnacentral:rRNA from 1 species
UACGUAGGGUGCAAGCGUUUGUCCGGAAUUAUUGGGCGUAAAGAGCUCGUAGGCGGUCUGUCGCGCCUGCUGUGAAAACUCGGGGCUUAACCCCGGGCCUGCAGUGGGUACGGGGCAGACUAGAGUGCGGUAGGGGGAGACUGGAAUUCCUGGUGUAGCGGUGAAAUGCGCAGAUAUCAGGAGGAACACCUAUAGCGAAGGCAGCUCGCUGGGACGACACUGACGCUGAGACGCGAAAAGCGUGGGGGAGCGAAACAGG